GCCACCUUCAUCAAUGAUCUUAGCUAGAUCUUCUGUCAACGUAUAUGGGUUUAGUUUGUGGCACCCCAAAACAAUUAUAGUAGUAACAUCCCGGAUCACUGUAACUCACAAGCAAUGAACUAAAUAUAAAAACUAAAAUCAUAAAAUUCUUAGGAGAAAACAUAGAAGCAAAUCUUCAUAAUUUUGGGUUUGGUAAUAGGCUCUUAGAUAUGAUAGCAAAAUCUCUUGCAAAACAACAAUGAAAAAACAAAAAGAAACAAAAUCCACUGGGAGUAAUCUUCAUUAAAAUCUGAAAUUUUGUGUAUCAAAGGAUAUUAUCAAGAAAGACAACCUACAGAGUGAAGGAACAUUUUUGCAAAUCAUAUAGCUGAUAAAUUCAGAAUAUAAAGAACUUCUACAACUCAACAAUGAAUAGGCAAACAAU
rnacentral:lncRNA from 10 species